GUCGGGGCGGGCGCACUACCGGCCGAUCUUCUCCGCCCUGUCGGCGAGGUCGAGCGAGAGCGUGCAAGUCGGGACCCGAAAGAUGGUGAACUAUGCCUGAGGAGGUUGAAGCCAGAGGAAACUCUGGUGGAGGACCGUAGCGAUUCUGACGUGCAAAUCGAUCGUCAAAUUUGGGUAUAGGGGCGAAAGACUAAUCGAACCGUCUAGUAGCUGGUUCCCUUCGAAGUUUCCCUCAGGAUAGCUGGCGCUCUGUCGCAGUUUUAUCUGGUAAAGCGAAUGAUUAGAGGUCUUGGGGGCGAAACGCCCUCAACCUAUUCUCAAACUUUAAAUUGGUAAGAAGCCCGACUCGCUCGUUUGGAGCCGGGCAUGGAAUGCGAGUGCCAAGUGGGCCACUCUUGGUAAGCAGGACUGGCGAUGCGGGAUGAACCGAACGCCGGGUUAAGGCGCCCGACGCGACGCUCAUCAGAGCCCACAAAAGGUGUUGGUUGAUAUAGACAGCAGGACGGUGGCCAUGGAAGUCGGAAACCGCUAAGGAGUGUGUAACAACUCACCUGCCGAAUCAAUCAGCCCUGAAAAUGGAUGGCGCUGGAGCGUCGGGCCUAUACCCGGCCGUCGCGGCGGUACGAGCAUCGAGUUGGUGCGCUAGGCCGCGACGAGUAGGAGGGCCGCGGCGGCGGGCGGAAUUUCCCUAAAUUUAUCACCCACAAUUUUGAUUUCUGCAUAUCU
rnacentral:ncRNA from 1 species